AGUUCAUAAUCAUGGUUUAUAUCUUUCCUCGGUGUACAUAUAAAUGUAGUGGAUUGUUGAAGACCUAUGCGUUUGAUGAUACCACAAUUGGAUCAUGGAUGAUUGGCGUCCAGGCAACAUAUAUAGACGACAAUCGCCUUUGCUGCAGCAGCACAAGACAAGAAAAAGUAUGUUCCAUGGCAUGAUCGAUGCAUAGCUGAUCCUCUUGGCCCCAAGCAAAGUCACGACGGUUUCUCAUUGCAUUCAUGGUGCUUCGAUCCUCUUUGAAGCAAAUUCUUGGACCCGAAACCAAAUUUAUAAUUCGUUUUGUUAGAAUGAGUAUGAUUAGGCCAUUUGUUACAGUUUGUGAUUAGGACACAUCCCUUGAGCUUUGGAGUAAGAAAAUGGGGGAAUGGUAUAGUUGUGAAUGAAGUAUAAUUUUUCCGUUGUUUAUCAUUUCUCCGUCCAUUUUAGCUCAAUCUCUGAGAAGACUUUUUAUUUUGUUAUUUUCUGGUUAAUAAUAUCAAAAUAGUAUGUGUAGAUA